AGAUUUAGUGGUUGGCGGCCAAUUGGAACUAAACACAUUGGAGGUAAUGCCACUGGUGGAGCUAAGAGAGGUGCUGACCUCAGACAAUGAAACUGAAGAGCUCAGUCCACUACUGCUCGAUCCAAACAGUUUGGCAGGAGUUGAAGAACCAAAUAGAGAGUUGAGAGGUGCAGCACCAGUCAUCCCAAAUGAAGAUGAGGUGGACAAACCAAACUGAAUGGGCAUGCUCUGAGUAGAGGAUGCAAUCCCUGUCCCAGCAGGAGAUGAUGAUGUCUGGGCAGAAAGCAAAGAUCCACUGCCAGCACCAAAAGGAGUAGGACCAAGAGACUGGUUAUUAGCAGUUGAAGAGGAGGAUGAACCACUAAACCCAAAAAUGCCACUUCCUGUGCUUGCAAUUUUGGAAGAUGUGCCACCAAGAGACUGGUUAUUAGCAUUUGAGGAGGUUGAACCAUUAAACCCGAAAAUGCUAUUUCCUGUGUUUGCAGUUGCAGGAGAUGUGCCACCAAAAGGAGCAUUGGUUGGAUUGCCAAAGGUUGUUUCCUGCUUGGUGUUGGCUUCUUUGUCUGUAGAUUCUACACCUGAAGUUGUCAGAACUGGAGAAACUGAAGUUAAUGGAGCCACAGAGGUGCCAAAUGUAAAAAUGGGUGCUGCAGAAAAUGAAGGUACAGCGGCUGAUAUAGAGAGACUGCUAUUGGGGCUAGUUGUGGCAGCAGUGGCAGAAGUGGAAGCGUUUGCUGCAGUUGCAGCACUGGGGGUAAAGCUGUUGGAAACACUUUGAUUUGAAAUAUUGGAACCUAGAAGUUGACUUGGGGAAGUAAACAUAGAGCAGCCUGAAGCAAGUAAUCCAUUAUUUAGAUUAGAAUCGUUGGCAGGAGCACCAAAGGAGAAAAUGCCUGUAGUUGAUGUUGAGGCUGAUACAGCAGAUGAAAAUGCAGUUUCUGGUUUUUUCAAUGAAUCUCCGGCCUUCUGUAUGUUGUUAGUAUCACCUUGAGAUGAUUCUGGUAUUUUCAGGACAGUUUCCGUUGCACCAGCAGAAACCGAAGCAAAACUGCACAAGUACAUGAAAGAAAAGUUAAAAUCAGUCAAAUUUCCCCCAUUACACCAGACUAAAUACGUCCACAAAAAUUAGAUCACAUUAGUACUGAAACAAUUUUGGAAUAUUUGAUCCAUUUAUCAAAUUGGAAAAGAUUUAACUGUGGAUAAAAAAAGGGAUAUAAUAACAAUUGUAAGUUCAUACGACAAUCAAAGAGUGGCCACUUCCCUUGGGCAAAUAUGUUCACAAAAAUAGGAUCAUCAAGCGGACUAGAUUGCAAUGUCCUUCCAAGGAAGAUAGUCAUACUCCUUCCACCCCUCCCUCCUUCCCUCUCCCUCCAUAAGAAAGUAAGAAAUUAGGAAAUUUCUCCUCCCAGGGAAGAUAGUUAUAGAUAUCUAUAAUACACCUGUAUAGUCUUUCAAAAUGGAGAACUAAAAGUUUAAUUAAAGCUUCCAACAUAUUUUAUCCUUUCCCUGAGGAUGUGAUUGUCCUAUUCCCAAGAAUGAUUUCUUUAAAAAUCCCAGGUCUGAUUGCAUUCCAUUCAUUUUUUAAGUCAUCUUUGACCCUUUCACCUCAUCGCAUGACUCAAGAAAUUUCUAUGGUAUUGUAAAUCUAAAGAUUCUGCAUCAGAUUUGGAAUUAGGGCCCAAAAUAGAGCUAUAACAAGAGUGGUCAAAAUUUAGAAGGUUGAAGGACUGAUAACACAAUGACUUUCUUUUUUUUAUUAUGAAGGUUGGUGCUUUCAAAGCACAAAUUCAAAAACUACAAAUUGCAAUUCCAGACAAUACCAAGGAUUGAACCACUAAUGUCUCCAAAUAGUAUCUAAAUAGCAGUGUUAAGGACAAGGAAACAAGGAGUAGGUUCAAAUUAGCCUCCUAGGGCAACACAUCACUUUGAAAGACCUCAAAAUACUGUCUUAAACAUGGUGAAUGAUAUAAUGGAGUUAAAUCAAUACAAGUUGCAUGAUCAAUAAGAUAUGGCUGAUGCUAUAAUGAAGAAAGUAUAUGUAAAGUAUGAGAUUUUGCUUCGAAAAAUUGAUUCAAAAGCUUUUUCUGGUUGUUUGGCUAUCAAAAAGAGAGUUUAAUUGGCCUGACAUGUCUGACGAAAGACAAGCUUGUUUUGCCAUCAUGGAACUUGUUGGAUAACCUCAUGGAUGGUGUAGAGGAUGAUAUAAUGAAGAACGCACACAAAGUAUGAAAUUUUGCUUGAAAUUUUUGGCCUAAGAUCUUUUUCUGAUUGGUUGGCUUUUUAUUUUUAUUUCUUUUAAUGGGUAAAAAGCAAUAUAUUAAAACAAGGCAUUCCAGAAAAGUGCCCCAUAGUACAUAGGGAGUAUAUAAAGGACACCGAAGAGUGCCUCCAAAGAGAAAAAGGGGAUCAACAAAAAAACCAACACCCCCUCAAAUAGAGCCUAACCAAUCCACAAAAUCAACAAUGAAAGAAGGGUUGGAAACUAAAUACACCUUAGCCCAUGCCCAAAGGUUACAAAGGAAAGAAAGUUUAAACCCUUGAAAUAGAGUUUACUUGGUAUGGCAUGUCCAAUGAAAGACGAGUUUGUAGGAGAUCCUCAUAUUUAGUCGAUGGUUUAGAUGAUGAUUAAGAAUUGUUCAACGGCCACUGAUUGAUAAUUGAGAAAAGCUGAAGUAAAAGGUAGAAGCAAAAAUACCCACCCCUUGAUAUUUUGAUGGUUUGUAUGAUCAAUUGACCAAUCUUAGAUAAGACUCGAUAGUACUUGAAUAUAUGAACAAGUUUAUCAAGCUAAAACUUCAGUUGCCAAUCCCAAACAAGCUACUUGACUCAUAUGAGGGAUGAAAUUUGCAACCAAACAUCAAAAUGGCCCCACAUCGUCUCUGAUGAGGCAUUUCAGUUGGCCUUGAAAUGAAGAGAAGAAAGCCCCUAACCCGAAGGUUUUUUCCCCAUGCCAUAGAGUGUAUCAACAAACAGCAUGAAGAGAAUGGAACAAUUUCUAGGACCACAAGACAAGUAAAAUACUGUUGAUGAUUCAAAAGUUAGUAAAGGCAACAACUUCUUGAUGCACCUAAGGAAGAAAAUGAAAGAUGGGAAGAGUACUUCUAUAUUUCGGACAAUAGUAGAUUGUGGGAAUGAAGCUCAAAAGUUAGUAAUUUAUAAAGGCAACAACUUGAAUGUAGUUUCUGAAACAACCGUUUUAAGAUUGAUGUUGCCGACAGUGCAUCCAGAGCCAUACAAGGUAGCAUCAAUUCAUAGUACUUCUAUUUUGAUAACAAAAUGACGUUUGGUUUCUAGCUCUUGUAGUCAUUAUAAUGAUUCCAUAUGGUGAGAUGUCAUCCCCACUACUAUUACAUAUACUUACCCUAACUUGGUUACAUGAUUGAGACAUGUGUAUCAAUUAUCACUGUGGAAGAGCAAACAAACUUAGCACAUGUUCAAUAAACAAAACAUUGCUUUGAAGUCUAUGAUUAAUGAUCAUGGAGAAAGUGAAAAAACACCAAGAAGAGAGGCCAGAGAAUGCUACUGAAACUGAAACAAAGUCUUCGUUUAUUUUUCCAAGAAAAAGUUCAAAAGAGAGAUUGCGAAUUAAAAUUGUGUAUGUUGUCCUAGUCCAAGAAAACUAAGUCCAAGAUGUUGUAUCACCCUGAGAAAUGCCUUUGGAAGUGUCUAAAUAGCUAUUUAAUUUUUCCAACGUUGCUGCAAAAGAUUUACCAAAUGAAUUGCCACACCAAUACUAAGCUUCAACAUGCCUUUGAUUUGCUAUCAAGUUCUCAAUUACUUUAUCCUCCAACAUAUCACAUGAAUUCAUUAGAACAAUAGAGCAUGCAGGAAAGUUUAAGAAUCGCUUUCUAAACAGUGUAUUCAUGAAAAUCAUAGGCCAUGUGUUCCACCAACUUUGAUCCCACCUAGAAAGGAUGGUGAUUUAGGUAGAAAUAUGUUAAUUCUUUUUAUAGAUAAAGAAUUAUGUAUAAUAAGAAGAGGUGCCAAAAGAGCGACUCAAGGUAUACUUUGCAGAUGUUUGUUAAUAGUCAUGCAAUAAACAAGAUCAUUCUAUAGUGAAUUCCACAUAUUUUCAAAGAUUUACUGGAAGACCGGUUAUCACCAAUUUAAGAGAGGCCCGUGGAUGAACAUAAAACAAUUGUUUAAGACAAAGGAUAGGUUUUAUGAUUGGCCGUUGUGCGUACAUAUAUAUAUAUAUAUCAUGGAUUAAAUAUGCACAAACAAGGAUGAGAAAUCAUUCCCCCAAGUAUGUGUGCACACUGUCUUCGCAUUUUUUCCUUCCAUUUUCUAAGAAACUCAAUUCUCUAGGACACGUAACUCGGAACUAUCAACAUUUGGCUUUAUAUUUUCGAUGGGCAAAUAAAGUGAGUAUAUAACGUAAAAAACUCUGAAAAAAAACCAAAGUCCACGGGACAUAUACAACAGGAGCUAAGAGGCACAAAAAAGAGAGAACAAAAAACCUAUUGCCUCUCUCACCAAGAACAAAACAAUCUACACAAUAAAUUAAUGGCAUAGAACCUUCUUUUAUGUACAACUUAACACACAAGAAAAGAUUAGUAAGAAAGUGUUUUUUAGCAUUGGCCAGACUGCUCCUCAUUUUAACAUUUAUUUUUAUGUUAAACACAACUUUUUCUUCAUAAUUAUGUUGAAUACAUUGUAUAUUUUCAUGUAUUGCCUGGGCUAAAAACAUAAUGACAAUAAUGUAAUUAUUAUAAUUCGUAUUUGGACAUCAGUAAGGUAUUAAUAUUUUCAAAAGUCACAAGAUAUAGUUUAAAUCAAGAGUUGAUUCAAAAUUGAUGGUGAUGGGCAAUAUAGUGAUCUAGAAGUCCAUUCAUCAUGUUUUCUAAGAAUGUUUCUACUUAUGUAGACAGUUUAGAAAUACUUCCCCCACCCCCCAAACACCCCCCUUUUUUAAGAAAGAGAGAGAGAGAGAGAGAGAAGUCUGUUACAACAAAGGGUUAGCAACCUAUUAAUAGACAUCAAUAAGGCAUUAAUAUUUUCAAAAUUCAUAAGAUAUAGUUUAAAUCAAGAGUUGAUUCUAAAUUGAUGGUGAUGUACAAGCUAUAGCGAUCUAGAAGUCUAUUUAUCAUGUUCUCUAAGAAUGUUUCUCCUCAGGAUGCAGAUAUUUUUAAAAAUACUUUCCCCCACCCCCUCAAUAAAAAAGGGGAAAAAAAAAGGUCUACUAAAACAAAGGGUCAUCAACCUAUGAAUGGUCAAACAGAUUCACAAUUUCAUUUUGUACAUAAAUAUUUUCUGUUCUGAUAUCACUUUUGAAUAAUAGAAAACUUUCAUUACAUAUUAAUAUUUCAAUAUACAAAUUAUUGUUAUGUUAAAUAUUUGCUUAAUUCUGUAAGCAUAUUUCAUAAAAUAAAAUUUAUUGUAUGAAUUUUUAGUAGCACUGUCUAAAAUGAACUAAGGUAGGAAGGGAAGACAUGAUGAUUUAGGACUAGAAUAGAGUUUUUUAAGAAAGAGAAAGAGGGAGAGAGAGAGAGAAGUCUGUUACAACAAAGGGUUAGCAACCUAUUAAUAGACAUCAAUAAGGCAUUAAUAUUUUCAAAAUUCAUAAGAUAUAGUUUAAAUCAAGAGUUGAUUCUAAAUUGAUGGUGAUGUACACGCUAUACUGAUCUAGAAGUCUAUCUAUCAUGUUCUCUAAGAAUGUUUCUCUUCAGGAUGCAGAUAUUUUUAAAAAUACUUUCCCCCACCCUCAAUAAAAAGGGGGGGAAAAGGUCUACUAAAACAAAGGGUCAUCAACCUAUUAAUGGUCAAACAGAUUCACAAUUUCAUUUUGUACAUAAAUAUUUUAUGUUCUGAUAUCACUUUUGAAUAAUAGAAAACUUUCAUUACAUAUUAAUAUUUCAAUAUACAAAUUAUUGUUAUGUUAAAUAUUUGCUUAAUUCUGUAAGCAUAUUUCAUAAAAUAAAAUUUAUUGUAUGAAUUUUUAGUCGCACUGUCUAAAAUGAAAUAAGGUAGGAAGGGAAGACAUGAUGAUUUAGGACUAGAAUAGAGUUUCAAAACCACAAUCAAAGAGAAAGGACCAGGCCUAACCCUGUACCAAGGAAGCAUGAAGGGGAUGACCAUUAAAUUCAUUAGUUAAUACAUUUAAGAAGCUAGCAAACCAUGAUUUUAAAGCAAAAGAAGACACCAUGAGGGAUGAAAAUUUAGAGCCCGUUUGGCAAUGGUUUUUAAAAGUGUUUCUUGUCCUAAAAACACUUAAACUUUUUUAAGGUAAAAAAUAGGUGUUUGCCAAUAUUUCGAAAAACACUUUUAAAAAUUUAGAAAAACACUUCAAGUGUUUCAAAAAAGCACUUGGGAGGUGUUUCUUUGAAAAAACACUUCAAAAAAUUUCAUAUAUUUCUAAGAUACCAUUUCCCACUAUCCUCCGUUUUCCUUUCACUCUUUGCUUCCUUGUCACUCUCCUCUUCCUCUUUCACUUCCCUUUCAUAAAAAUAAUUUUUUAAGUUUUUUCAACAAUAUAAAUGUUUAUAUAUUUUUUUAAUAAAAGUUUUCGGUUUAUUAUAAUAUUUUCUUUUUUUAAUAAAUGUCCUUUUUAAUAAUUUAUUAUUAUUAAAAGCGUUUUUGUACUUAUGCAAUAUAUCAUCAAAAACACUAUUAGAAUUACUUUUUUAGAUUCUCAUAAAAGCAUUUUUCACAAAAGUGUUGUAGAAGAGAACACUUUCAAUGAAAACACUUCCACUAGAACUAGUGCCAAACGGGCUAUUAAUGGUGUUGAUUAUUGACAACAGUGUUUACAUUCAGUAUUGAAUGGGUAACAUAUGUAUACUCUCUCUCACUUUACUAUAGUUAGGCUAUUGCCUUGCUUUUCUCCUUUCACCUUAUGUUAAAAGGAGUCCUAUUGCCUUGGCAUCACCUUUUGCUUUUAAUAACAUUGUCCUCUACCAAACUUACAAUACACCUAUCACAUUCAGAAUUAGAUUCACAAUAAAUUGGAAGAAGUCUUGAGUAUUUUUAUUUGACUCUAAUCUAGGUAUGAGAAAACUUAGAGCUUCAGGAUUGUAGUAGUGUGUCCCAAAAGGGAGGAAAGGGGAGAAAAAAAAUGUUAACCAUAAAUAAGGGUAUUUCUGUCCCACUACUACUCAUAAGAGUAUAGCGAAAGUACAUCUUCGCACUCAAAUGAGAAAAUUGAAAAAGGAGCAUGGUUAAGAACACCAUAAUGAAACAAUCUUCAUCCCUUUCUAUAAAGCUUCAUGAUUUUGGAGAUGCAGUUGGACCAUAUGGGCAGUGUCAUGUUCAACAACAAUCUAGAUCAGGAAAACCCUGUUAAUGCCAUAAAUUAAAACAAAACUAAUCCUUAAGGCCCAUAGAGAUGCUCUAAUUGUUUUCCUGACUUUCUAAUCAAUUGCUAGUAUAUUGGGUUUGCUAGUUUCAUUGGAUUUUACCUACUUCUGCUAUAUGAGAGUUUAAAACACCUUGGAGGAUUUCUAUGAUAAUUUUACCAACUUAAGCUACUUUUCAGUUCCUAAUUUUUUUCCCUCCAAUUACUGUCUUUCUAUCUUAUUAUCAAGGAAUCCUUCCCUUCCUCUUAUUACCCCUCCUUUCUUUCAACUACCAUAAUUCCAUCUAUUAUCCAAAAAAAAGGACAUUUAAGUAAUGUUCAAAUUCAAAAAACAAAGCAAAAGGAAUGGAAUUAUCAAACAACAAAUAUUUCCUAAACAAUCGAUAAAAUAUUAAAAAGUGGAUACUGACCUGCUUGAACUGUCUAGUUUUGGGUCUGAGAAAGCACCAAAUUUUGGACCCGAGGGUUCACUAGCAACCGGAGACGAGGAAGAAAAUGUUAUGGGUGGAAACUUAUUGACAUUUUUUGAGUCAAAACUAAACACAGGAGGAGCAGAAUACAGUUCCUUUGGUGGAACAACUUUAUCCAAUGUUGAAGAAGGCUGAGGAGCAAGCAUAACUGGUGGCACAGUCAUGCUGGAUACCGGUGCAACUGGGAAGGUAAAGGAGGGAUUCUUUUCAGCAACAACAUGAGUUUCAGAAGUUUCUGCAUAACUACUUUUGUUUAAUACAGAGCUGGAAGGGGACUUUUCAGAAGAAAUUGAGGGCUUCUCUGCUUUAACUGAUUCAACAGCAACAGUCUCCAUCUUACGAUCCACCAGCGACUUAUCCAGCUUUUCUCUGCUUUCUACCAAUGGAUUAGAUGCAAGUCCAUUUGGAUAGAAAUCAUCAUCCAGUUCAAGAUAAACCUUCAAAUGAGAAUCAUAAUAUCAGAUUGUAUUAAAAAUUCAUACUAAAGGCAACAUAUAUAUAAAUGGAACAAUCAGAGAAAGUUAUGAAAAAAAACAAGGCAUUUUUAAAAGGUGUAUCCAUCAGCCCAAGCCAUCAAAUGUAGGGGAGCAGACUUCAAUGUGCAAAACCACCAUUAGAAACAGUUUCUACAAAUAUGAGAACUUACUAGAUUAAUAGACACAUGAUGAACCAGUCACUUUAUUGGAAUAUAUUUUUAUGACUAAGAAGUACAAGGAUGCAACCUAAGUCCACAUGGAGUACAAGAAUAAGGUAUAACUAUAGGUAGGGGUAAAAUACUGAUCAGCGCUUGAUCAUCAGAAUAUUGCAAUAAACUAUAAGAAGGGAAAAUUAUGGUCAACACUUGUUCCUCAGAAUAGACCAAGGAAGAAACAAACAUACCUCAUGGGCACUCAUCUGAAAAGCCCGUUUCUUCUGUGUAGGAGGAUGAAUGGCAGAGUUCAUCAUGGCAGAAUCUGCAGUUUUAACACUAGGCAUGGUGCCCUUACUAGAGGUUGUAGUAUCAACAUUAUUCACAACAGAUAUUGAUCCAUCAAAAAACUUUGUUGGCCCAUUUUGAACCUUGUCUGGCUUUUGAAAAGUAGAGUCUCGAGCAUCAGGCACACAGGCAGUAAGCAUAUCACUCAACUUAUUAUUAUUUGGCACAUUCUCCAGAAUCUUUGAUGAAUCCACAUUCUCCAAGCUUUUAAGAGCCUGUCCACGUAACAUUGUUGGUGUCAACUUAGCAGGUGAUUUCUCCCUUGCAGCAGCUAGCUUGAGUUCAGAUGAUUUCUCUUUCGGCGAAGGGGCCAACUUAUCAAGUUGCUCCAAUAUUUUUUCAGCCAUUUCACUGGACUGGGAAGGAACAUGGGCAAAACUUAUUCCAGGAACACUGUUAUACCCAUUUUCUAUCAGUGUUUUCGAAAAUUUAUGCUUGGAUUCGCCCAAUAAACGUGGCUUCUCUAUCAAAGACAAAGGGAGCUGAGCAACAUCAGAACGAACUCCAGUUCCAGUGGCAGAAAGAGGACUUCCACCAACUGCUGUGCCUAAACUUUUUGGAGAUAAAAGAUUAGGCUUCUGGCGAAUUCGCCGUAUGGGACCAACAGAUCCAAUAUCACUGUCCAGGACUGAACUCCUGCGCUUUAGAAGCUGCAAAUAAAAGCAAUAAAUCCAUACAUGUGAUUAAAAAGUGGAUAACUUCAAAAAAUAGAGAAUAGCAUUUAAUAUCUCCAAAAAGCAUACCCCUUGUUUAGACCCAGAAAAUCUAUUUUGCUCCGAUGCAGACUGAGAUGAUGAUGGCCCACCAUAAACAUCAAGUGUUGAUGUAACACCCUAACAGAUAAACAAAAUAAAGAACAUUGAAACACUAUUAAGAGGGGAAAAAAUGAAAAGGUUAUAUUUUACCCUCAGCAUACCUUGAUGGUAGUAGUUGGAUUAACUCUGGAAUAUGGUGUACGAGCCAUACUGUAUAAUGCUGAUCUGCCUCGAGAUCUUGGAAUCAUAAAACCAUUUUCAGAAACCCCAACAGGGGCAGGAGAUUUUGGUACAAUUGACAUGAUGGGCAAUUUUGGAUGAAGUGAUAUAUUGCUCGGCAAAGUUGAAUCUUCUCUGAAUGCUUGACCGCGCAAACUUAGCAUUGAUGGGGACACUUUUGAAGGCCUACUGCCCAUGUAAGCU
rnacentral:lncRNA from 1 species